CAGUAGCCGCGGUAAUACAGAGGGUGCAAGCGUUAAUCGGAAUUACUGGGCGUAAAGCGCGCGUAGGUGGUUCGCCAAGUUGGAUGUGAAAUCCCCGGGCUCAACCUGGGAACUGCAUCCAAAACUGGCGAGCUAGAGUAUGGUAGAGGGUGGUGGAAUUUCCUGUGUAGCGGUGAAAUGCGUAGAUAUAGGAAGGAACACCAGUGGCGAAGGCGACCACCUGGGCUCAUACUGACACUGAGGUGCGAAAGCGUGGGGAGCAAACAGGAUUAGAUACCCCGGUAGUCCCUGUCUCUUAUAC
rnacentral:rRNA from 1 species